AGAGCGUCUCAUGGGAAAAGAAGAGAGCGGCAAAGAUUUCUACUGCAACCCUCCUGGCAAAUUAUCCUUUAUUUGCAAAUAUGACAGACAGGAUGGCAAUUUUGGAAAAGGGGAUAUAAGCAAAACAUGCUAAGGAGCUAGGAGGAAAAAAAAAAAAUCAUGUUAAUUGUGUGUGGGAAAAUUUAUUUGGGAAUUAUAUGAAGAUGAAUAUGUCUAACAAACUUAUUCUAUUACUUCUGUGGUCACUCACACAUAAAUUGCACAACUUAACAAAGCUGCUGGGUUUUCGCAUUCACUCAAGCAAUGUGAAAGCAGCGCAGAACUGUAUGAGUUGGCAGUCAGGGCUGUGAAAAGCGGUGUUAGUUAUUUAGCAAGAUCAUGCACAUGAGUAAUAGAUAUUCUUCCUUAUGGAGAAAAUGUGAAACACAUUAAUCGUUUCCCUUUUCACCGCAGACUGUUUCAGUGCCUGUUUCUUAAAGCCUACUCAAAAAGAGGAAACGGCAACAAUUUGCAAGAGAAAAGGCUGGCUGUAAGACAGGACCCCUUAAAGAAGAAAACAGGGACCCACGCUGGCCUGAAAGGAUCACCUCCAGCAUGCAUACAAGGCUUCUAGAUCACUGGAGGCAAAGUUUAAUACUGAUAGCAGCAAGUCAAGAGGUGUAUGCGUUAGUUUCCAGGAGUGCAACACAAGCUGAAACAGCCACUCUCUCGGACAUACUCCCUGAAAAAUCAUAUGUCCGAGAUCAUCAGCCAAAGCACACAAGUUACUCUUCCUUCAGUACAGAUUUUCAGGAACACCAAAAAGCACAGCUUUUCACAGACUAAAAAGAAGAGAAAAUAGAUGAAAGGAACAUUAGUGUUCCUGAAGCAGGAGUUGACACGCUUCUCCAGACUCAUCUGCCAGAUUUAAGGAUAACAUUUGGUGUUUACUGAAGUUCAGGUUUGCCCUUUUGGAGCACAGAUCUGUAAUUAUCGUGGAAUCAGAACUGAAAAGAUGAAUCAAGGCAACAUUUAAAAAAAGAUCUUGUAAUAUUAAUCCUUGCUGAUAAAGCUCCAGCAACAAGCCCUUCCCAUGGGGCAAAGGUCCCCACGGCAGUUUACAAGCACCAGCUGUUACUUUCAGAAAAGAGAUUUCUAAGUUUUUGAAGGCAGCGCUGGGGAGUUUGAACACACCUGGGUCCCCACCCUGCAGAGAGAGAAACGGCCUGAAGAGGAAGACUUUGUCCAAGUUAAUAAAUAAGAUACUGUUCCCUGCUCAUCCAUGGUCCAUGCAUCAGUUUGCUUUUAGAUUCUGAAAAAGACCAGCUCAUUCCCUCUGAGACAAAAGGGUGUUAACGGAUGGGCUCCCUCCUUGUGUCUCCCUUCCUUUAGCUACAGAGUGAACUCUGAGGUUUAUGUUCCUGCCCUAUGGCAAAUAUGACCUUCGCAUUAGCAGUUCUAUCAAGCUGUUCACGGUUUCUGCGUGCCCCAUCAGCCCGCUUUCCAUAUGUGCCAUUAUGAGUCCUGGCACAAACACAAGAGAAGAUCUCAGCUUCCCCCCAGGGCAGCCACUGCUGCUGUAAGGCAAAGCCUCACACAUAACCAGGAAAGGUGCCUGCAGCCACCAACGUGCAUAAAUGGGGGAGCUUAAACAUCUACAGCCACGUCCUAGUUCCUAGCCUUUCCUCAAUGAAUCCAGGCGUUUAGGAAAUGAGCAGAAGUUAGUGCAUCUUCCACCUUCCUACAUUUUUUCUUUUCUCAAAAGAGCUGUUCUUUUGGCUUUCACGGGGAUCCUCUAACUGCUGGGAAGCAGAGGAAAGCAAAACCACUGCACUGCACUCCAUUUUUUACCAGCUUAGAAGGCACCGCGUCCCAUAUUUCAACGUACCUUCCUGCUGAGACCAGCCCAGCAAUGCAGCUGCUCCCGCUUGGACCCUUCCCUGGGUACAGCAAGUUUUGAGGACUAGCACAUGCCAAAGCAUCCUCAACACUCCAACACAGCACCUUUCCUCCUCAUCUGCUGCAUCUCCCUGCAGCUGCUCACUUCUCUCCUUACCAGCCUUUCCCCUUCCCUGGGAGCUGAGGAAAGCUCAUUCCUGAGGACACUUUUGAGAUCUGCCCAUUCUCAGAUGGGAACGGGCUCCAGUUUCACCAGCAGAUUCAGGUGAUUGGGGAGGGGGGUGGUUUUGUGGUGUUUGUUUGGUUUGAAGUAUUGUUUGUUUGGGGUUUUUUGGUUUUGUUUUUGUUUUUUUUUACAAUCCGUAUUAUAUCUUACAUGGUGGUGGCAAGCUGCAGUUUGGCAUGCCAGUCAAAGGAGCAAUUCUGUGGUGAACUCUGCUGCCUCCGGCACCACGCAAAGGAAAACUUCAGGGCCUAUAAGGGCAGGGUACACAGACGAGGAUAAAAUCUGCCGCUUGCCUUCUCUCUGUUUUUUUGGGGUUUUUUUUGGUGUGGCAAGGAGGCAAAUCAAACUAUUGAAGUUCUUUUAAACUCUCAGCAAGCACAGCACAAGGUUACAACGGGAAAGUGACCUGGAGAGCGGCUGACCCCACACCUUUCCCUCUCCCCCGUGAACCUAGAUAGUGUCAUAGAGCCAUAAAGCUCUUUUCCUUGACCUGGCCAUUCUUUUUGGCAUACGCAAUGACAUUUCUGGACCCUGACCAUCACCGCGCGUGGUCCACAGCUGGUUACAGACAGCAGUCCCAGCUCCCCGCUGCUACAAGCGUCCCAGAAGAGCAAUGCCUCCUCCCAGUCCACAGUCCACUCUCUCACUCAUGAUGGUUUUCGUUUGCACUUUGUCCUUAUUUUCGUCCCAUGACUGACAGACCAAAAGGUCCAGGCAAGUUGAUCGCGUUUACAAGUUGUGUUUACAAACUGCGUGCUAAAGAAAGCAGCGUUUCUGGGAAGGAUUUAUGUCCUCGGCUUUCCCUCAGCACUGCAGGCUGAGCCCUCGACGUUCGAGAGGUGGACCAUGAGCUUAGGGAGACACCAUUUCAGGGUUUUAUCUAGAAGACAUCGCACAUCAAUGAGCAGCUUAAUCACAGUGCUGCAAAACCACCGCUGCCCCGCAGGUGACUCCGGGGAUGAUUUGGUUUGUUCUUACAGUCAAGAGUUCAGGACUUCUGUAUUAGAA